UAGGAGGUGGUGUAAAGGAAGCACUAAGAGUUUUGAUCUCUUCAGAUUGGGUUCGACUCCCUUCUUCCUAA
rnacentral:tRNA from 1 species